UACGUAGGGUGCGAGCGUUGUCCGGAAUUACUGGGCGUAAAGAGCUCGUAGGUGGUUUGUCGCGUUGUUCGUGAAAUCUCACGGCUUAACUGUGAGCGUGCGGGCGAUACGGGCAGACUAGAGUACUGCAGGGGAGACUGGAAUUCCUGGUGUAGCGGUGGAAUGCGCAGAUAUCAGGAGGAACACCGGUGGCGAAGGCGGGUCUCUGGGCAGUAACUGACGCUGAGGAGCGAAAGCAUGGAGAGCGAACAGG
rnacentral:rRNA from 1 species